GGACAAGCAACAAGAAGCACAAGUUGAGCCUUCUUGUUAGAAGUGGAGGAGAGAAGCCCUUGUCUUAUCUUCUCAAUUUUUAUACAUUUUAUAGGCUCUUGUUUGGUUCUUCAAUGGCGAGUUGGGUCUUAUCGGAAUGUGGCAUAAGACCCCUGCCUAGAAUCUAUGCUAAACCCAGAACUGGACUCUCCAAGUUUAAAUCUUUACAAGUUGCUAAAACUCACUGUUUUGCUUCUUCGUUAAAGGUGUCAAAUGGGUUUAUUACCGACAGAAAGUGGUCACUGAAUGUGAGUGUUCCAUUGAGUGGACAUAAGAUUCUAUGUGAAGAGAAAAUCAAUGGAGUUAGAGAAGAAGAAGAAGAAGAAGAUGGUGGUGAGUUUGACCCUGGUUCGCCUCCUCCUUUUAAAUUAUCUGAUAUUAGAGCAGCUAUUCCUAAGCAUUGUUGGGUUAAGGAUCCAUGGAAAUCAAUGAGCUACGUUGUGAGAGAUGUUGCUGUGGUUUUUGGCUUGGCUGCUGUUGCUGCUUACUUCAAUAAUUGGGUUGUUUGGCCUCUUUAUUGGAUUGCUCAAGGAACAAUGUUCUGGGCUCUCUUUGUUCUUGGCCAUGAUUGUGGUCAUGGUAGCUUCUCAAAUAACCCAAAACUGAACAGUUUUGUGGGUCAUCUUCUUCAUUCAUCAAUUCUUGUUCCUUACCAUGGAUGGAGAAUUAGUCAUAGAACCCAUCAUCAGAACCAUGGACAUGUUGAAAACGAUGAAUCAUGGCAUCCGUUGUCCGAGAAAAUUUACCGGAGUUUGGAUGAUGCUACGAAAUUGUUAAGGUUCACCUUGCCUUUUCCUAUGCUUGCUUACCCUGUCUAUCUGUGGGCUAGAAGUCCUGGAAAGAAGGGCUCUCAUUUUAAUCCAGAUAGUGAUUUGUUUGCACCAAAUGAACGAAAAGAUAUCAUCACUUCCACUGCUUGUUGGACAGCCAUGGCUGCGUUGCUUGCCGGUUUAUCUUUCACAAUGGGUCCUCUCCAGAUGCUUAAACUGUAUUUCAUUCCAUACUGGAUAUUCGUCAUGUGGUUGGAUUUGGUAACUUACCUGCAUCACCAUGGUCACGACGACAAGCUUCCUUGGUACCGGGGGAAAGAAUGGAGUUAUCUGAGAGGAGGGCUUACAACAGUUGAUCAAGAUUAUGGAUGGAUUAAUAACAUUCACCAUGACAUCGGAACCCAUGUGAUACAUCAUCUCUUCCCUCAAAUCCCACACUACCAUUUGAUAGAAGCAACUGAAGCAGCUAAACCCGUGCUUGGGAGUUACUACAGAGAGCCGAAGAAAUCUGGACCUCUGCCGUUUCAUUUGUUGGGAAGCCUCAUAAGAAGCUUGAGAAGGGAUCACUAUGUCAGUGACACUGGGGAUGUUGUCUAUUAUCAAACAGACCCUAAAUUAGAUGGACCAAUGAAACAAGAUUGAAACCCAGCUGAAUAAUUUCAAGCACAGCAAGUGAAGCUUAUUAAAGCCAUUCAUUCUUUUAGAAGAGCCACAUAACUUCUGACCAUUAUCUCACUCUGCAUCACCAGAAUUACAGAGCCCAUCUGCCCCAAAUUUGUAUUCUUGUUGAUGUACUUGAGAAUAGGUUAAAAUCCGUAAAAUGACCACAGUCAUCCUACUCUUCCCGCAGAUUGUACUGCAUUCAUAAAAGAAGAUACUCGCCAUUGAUCCUUUUGAAUUCCAUCUGAGCCACAGAUGCCAUUACUAACAUCAAUUCCGUUAGGCUUGAGGGUGGAAAGGGCUUUCAAAACAUUCUCAGGAUUGAUCCUGCAGCCAAGAGUCACCCAAGUUUGCUUCUAAUUGGAGGUAAAGAAAACUGGGCUCAGGUAAAUCCUUUGCCGCUGCAGACACAGUCACUAAUUUAUAUUUACAAGUUAAGAAGCUAAUAAUUCAAAGAAUUGCAGAGUACAGGAUACAGUGAAAAAGAUCUGUUUGAAGAGGUCAAAUUUGGCCAAUCUUUGAUAAAAAGAAAUCAAACUUACUAAUUGGAAAUUUUGUUAACA